CUGGAGUAAGAAAAACUGGCAUGUAUGUAAGAGUCCCCUUGGGAGUCCCCUUGGGAUGGCGACCCAGCGGCCAUUUCUCUGGGGGCUGGAGGAGAACACGUGCACAGAUGACCCCAACCCUUCACCUGCAGAACUGGAAGGCCCGACUUCCCUGACUCAGCCCGGUACUGGAGUCACAGAACCUCGCCAGCGGACUGCAGACCCCAAAUAAAGGGCUUCUUGGCUCCAUAA